GGGCACAGAAACACCAAGGCAAAGCUCUCCGUGGGAUUUCUUGCUGCUGCCCCUCCAGGCGAAGCUGUCUGCGGGCUGCAGGAAGGCUCACACCUUGCUGGGCCUCAGCGUGGUUUCUCUCUAACAAAACCCCAUCUGGCUAAUGCUGUUCUAAUAAGGGAGAAACUGGGACUUAAUGAAAGUUAGAAAUAAUUGGAGUGCUGUAAGCUGCUCACCCCGAAAACUGAGUUAGGAGAAAUCCUGCUAGGGUCCUGCCUUGGAAAUCUGGUCUGAAAGUCAGUGGAAUAUACGUGACAGAUGGAUGGACAGAUGGAUGGUGGUAGCCAACCCAAUGGUAUGCCCAACCCGAGCCAUCCCUUAAGCUGUGUAAACGUCGCAUAUUUCAGAAAUGUUAAAUUAACCUGAAAUGAAAGAAUAGGACAUGAGACGUGAGUCCCUGCAAGCACGGCACCACUGGAGCUCGUUGUGCAAUGAUUAAAUAGAAACAAUUCCUUGUGUUGAAGGAAAUCACCAUUUAAUAAGCUAGGAAGGCCAAUACAUCUCCAGUAUAAGAAUCUAUAUUUGUGCAUAGAAAUCUAUUGUGUUUAUCCGUUGAUAAGGAUGUAUGAUGAAGCAGGCUUCCAGACUGUAGAUGCAGGGCUUUGACCCCUACAAGGCAAUGAUUAAUUAAUACUCAGCUGUUGUUUUCUUCCUGCAGGUUAUUGAGCCUCCCUGGUGGACCUUCCCAGCCCAACCCAAGCACCUGGAUGAGCCCAGCCCUGCUGUUCCAGAAGGUGUGAAGAUUGAACUCCUCCACAUUCCUCCCUUGGGAGCAAGGACAGAGUGAAAUGAAGCUCAGAGAUGUCCACUUUCUGCACUCGGUGGCUGGCUACAACAUAAGUCUUCGCACAGGAUUUAGAGGUAUGUCGACUUUGAUUUACAUGAUGCACAUCUUAGAUGACUCCUGUUACUGUGGGUUAUUGGCAGUUCUGGAGCUCUGAAUCAGAGGUCUCCAAAAAAUGAAGUAUGAGUAACUGGUGACUCGCUGGGGAAUUGAGAUAAGCAUCUAGUUUAUCUCACCUAGGGGGCCAGGUGUUAUAGGCAACCCACUCUUUUCCUAAACAAGUCUGGUUCAUGCCCAGAACAGGUCCAUACAACACAGUGAAACAGGUGGGUGUCACAUAGGAAAAAGUGGUGCCAUGGAAUUGUGUGUUCAUGGUGCUGGCUUACUUGAGAUUAAUUUAACACUGAACAAGUGCCCUAAAUUUAAUUUAAUUUCUUGAUUUAAUGUCAUGUUUUAAUGCACUUCUAUAUAUAAGAGAGGCUGUGGGGUCUCCUUGGAGAUGUCCAAACCCUGCUCUGGGUGGGACCCAGAGGUGCCGCCAGCCUCAGCCAUCUGUGGGAACCUCCUUUACAUCUAACUGUGAUGGCAGCAUGAGGAGAACCAAUGUUACACUGGGGCUGGAAAGUCCUUAGCAUGUGGCCCACAUCACACUCAUGCAGGCAGAGUGGCUCGCCAAAGCACAGUGCUACAUGGAGCUGAGUCUUGAGGGAUGGAGUGGGUUUGUGUCUGAACACAAGGCCUGGAGUGAGAUGUAGUCCUGUUUUGGAGGUGCUGUUUCAGAGAAAAAAAAAAAAAAAAAAGGGAGAAAUAGGACCUGGGACUUUUCCAGCCAUGCAGUUGCUGUAGCAACACUAGAAAAGGCCAUAGUGUAAAAUCUGUUUGCUGGAUGCUUGUUUGGGUUUUCAGCACAGCUCACUGGAUGAGCCCUCAUAAUGUAAAUAAUUUGUGCCUUGGAUUUCAUGCUGAGGAGGCUGCUUUUCAGAACAUUUCAGGGCCUUUCUUGUUUCUUUUAGGCUGGUAUUUUCCACAUCUUCCAGAUGUGGCACAUUAUUUGUGUCAGACCUGAGCUGGGACUCAACAAAAGCCAGCCAAGCCAUGGGCGCAGCACCUCAAAGAGAAGAGCUGCUAUGGAGCACCAAUGCUUAUUUACCCUGGAAAAGAGCAGCUCCAACUACAUGUUUUUUUUCCCAGUUAGCCCAAACUUGCUGUUUAACCCCUUUCUCACCAAAGGCUGCCAAGUUCCCAGGAGCAUGGCUAAGACAGAUGGCCACAACCUCUUCAGAAAAUUGAAGUGGCAUUCAAUUGGUUUUUUUUGUUUGUUUGUUUGUUUUUCAGUGGAAAAACAGCAUUUAGGAUCCUUCAGCACUUUUUGAGGUGAGAUAUAAGAACAUUUUCCCUGUUUGUUGCAGGAGAGUUGGAUUAGAUGACCUGUAAGAGUCCCUUCAACUGAAAAUGAUGCUACAGUUCUAUGACAUAGACUCAGAAUAGUCUUGGUUGAAAAGGACCACAAUGCUCAUCUAGUUUCAGCCUCCCUGCUAUGUGCAGGGUCGCCAACCACCAGACCAGGCUGCCCAGAGCCACAUCCAGCCUGGCCUUGAAUGCCUGCAGGGAUGGGGCAUCCACAGCCUCCUUGGGCAACCUGUUCCAGUGCGUCACAUGGACACUGCUAACCAAGACCUGGCACUGUCCAUUGGAUGAAAGUGUAGGAAUUGCAGCUCCUUUGUAAUUUGCAACAACCCCUUUGCAAAGCCAUGCCCUGCCUCAAUACAGAUGGGGCGUGUGGGUGCAGGCUGCUCGGAGAGGCAAAUAACUUACACUUCUCUUUCAUUUCCUUUAGAAUCUGCACGGCAGUGUUCAGCUGAGCAGUACAUGCAUAGUGUUUGCAACCAGCCAUUUAGGUGGCUUGAAAAUACAUCAGCAAAAGGCAGCAUAUGGAAAAUUCUGAUUGGAAACAUAUGGGAUGUUACAUCAGAAACAGUCUUUUCUUCCUCUGUGGACGAUGAUUUGCUCCACUAAGAACUGUUUGGGGAUACAGCAGGGAAAAUAAAUUUCCUUUUUAGCAGGGCACCACCUCAGCCCUGUGGAUCAAUAACUUCAGUAGGACUGUGAUCUCCACCACUGGCAGCACACAACCACCUUUUGCCACCUAUGACUUACUUAUCGUGAAUCACUUAUUUCCUAUUACUAAUUACUCAACGAAAGUGCUUAGUUAUGUAUUAGGCACAGCUCUCUUUUUUCAAGUCCUUGACACCACCUGCACAUCACCAGCUCUGAAUCAGCGUUCACAGCCCUCAGCCAGCACAGGUCGUCACUGGGUGUAAAAUGGGACUGUUACAGUAAGACAAUUUCUUAUAUUUUCCUUCCUAAAGCUAAUUGUUUGAAUCAUUUCUCACUUCGUGUCCUACCAGUAACCGGCUGCAUUUGCUUUCCCUGCCUGUGAAUGUGUUUGUUUGCUACUGCCAAGGACACAAAGGGAAGCUACUGCUGCAAGAGGGACAAGAAUGCUACGUUACAUUCCAUUCCAGCUCGCAUGGCGCACAGCCCUGCUGGGGUCUCUCUGGGUCUAUGACAACCUGCCAGGAGCAGGAUGGCCAGCACUGUGUUGGGAACAUCUGUGUCAGAUGUUACGCCUUCCAGCACAACCAAAAGCGCAGCAGAAACCACUCAGUCCUAUUUUCAGUGACAGAAUGGUGACCCGACGUCCUUACUCUGCCCAGAUCGCCACCUGAAGAAGGUGAAGUUCUCAGGUGAAAGAAGUUGCGCUCGAAGCUUCAUUACACCGCUUUGAUGCUGAAGUAAGAAUUCCCACAGCGAAGAUGGUAAUACUUUCUUCUGUUUGUGAAAUUACCUCCAUUUGGAGGAGUAAUUUGAUGUUGAGAAGGAAAGCAAACAAUUACCACAACCUCAUCCUGCAGUGCAAGUAUUUUCAUGCUUUUUCUGCCUCCUGACUGCAAAGACAAUAUUUACAUAUGCAUACAAAUCAUAUCAUGUAUUUAACUAACACUAGAACUGCAACAAUUGAAACCGCCGUGAUAUUCAGUUGAUAUUUUAAAACCUUGAUCAUAGAAUCAUCGAAUGGCUUAUGUUGGGAGGGACCUGAAAGAUCACCAAGCUCCAACCCCUCUGCCAUGGGCUGGCUGCCCCCCACCAGCUGAGGCUGCCCAGAACCCAAUCCAACAUGGCCUUGGGCACCUCCAGGGAUGGGGUACCCACAGGCUGAUCAGCAUACAGCAAGAUAUUCAGAAAACAGAUGGAUCUCAGAUGCUUUGUAGGGCUAGUCUUCAGAUGGUUGAAGUGUCAGGAUCCCUUUCUAAUGAAGCUCUGUAUCAUCCAACAGUGCCUUACAGAAUGGGUGCAUCCUGCUACCCAAUGUAUUUUCCAAUUCUUGUCUUCUGAGGUGCACAAAAUGCUCUGGGAAUGUGAAAAGCAGCAUUAAAGUCCCUCUACCUCCAGCAGAAAGUCGCUCGUUGAGAUGCCAGUUGAGAAGGUUAUCAUCGUGCACAUGUUUUUUGCCAUUUAAUUACUCUCUUUCCUGUAAAGAGUCUGGCUUUAAUUAAAUGGCAAAACAACGUGUGGACUUUUCUCCAAGCCAUCUUAAAGCGCUCACUUCCUCCUCUGUGUUCUGUGGUUUAUUAGAUUUGAAUGAGUAAUGGGGUGGUUUCAUUUGUUUAGCUAAAUUAAAGUGGCCAGCAACAAUUUCCUGCCUGAGCAAACUGUGGGCUGAUUAAUAAUAUUGGUGAUGGUGGUAACGUGGGUUUCCUGCACCAUGCAGGUUCUGCUGCCAGACUGAUGCUGGGGCUUUCCAGCACACCAGCGGCCUACUCCUCACAAUCAAAUUGUUCACGGAGGUGCACAGUAUGCCCACAGAGCCAGGAAGGUGCCUUCAGAGCAGAGCUCCAGCACAGAGGAGGCACGUUUUGAACCAAAAGUGCAUAAGUGAUCUGCCUGGGCUGCAAUUUGCUCUCUGCAUAUCCUGCAAGAUCCCAUGUCUGUGAGUGAAAGCUCUGGAGCUUCCCAUUAACUUGAAAAAACAGGAAAAAAAGAAGGAAAAUCAGGUGUGUUCAUGGAUGCUUUGGCAUGGAAUACAGUGUUCUUCCUGCUGCCACAGAGAACUUCAUCAACCACGUCACCCAUUACUUAUGCAGUGCCCACAGGACGCUUUCUCCUCUAACAGAACUGCAGGCCAUUUUUGGCACAAAAUUAGAGGCACUGUAGCAGUUGGUUUUCCCAUACACGUUACAGAAUUUUGACUGAAAUCUAUUCAGUACCUCUUCAGAAAGUCAGACCCACAGACCCAGUACUGAAUAGCUCACACAAAACUGGAGCGAUGCGAUCCCCUUGCAAAAGCCAGGUAGGCAUUUGGAAAAGCAUCGACUCUAGCGCAGUUAUUCUUGCUUUGUCUGAGCACCGAUGUGGUGUUUGUGGCAAGCAAAUGUCUACUGUAACAAAAGAGCUUGGACUCCAAGACAUGAAAAAAUAAUGUUCAAAAGGCAUAGUCCAUGAAUUUUCAAAUGUGGUUGCAAACAAAGAUUACCAGAGAAAUGUCCAGUGUGUUGCAACACCUAUUGAGUCAAUGACAAAAAGCUGGCUUUGAUUACUGUUGUUCAGUGUUGAUGACAAACGCAAUUACAGGCAGAUAUGAGAGCCUGUCAGCACAGGACACUUUAAAUGUCCGCAUCAACUUCUAGCAGUUUGCUUAAAGAGCUGAUUCAAACAGCUGCUGAUGGGUCUUUUGCUCAACUUACUUCUCCAGCCCACGUAUCCCUCCAUCUACACACAGCCACGGCUUACUUGACUCGCAGGAGCAGCACAGUGUUUUAAGGGUGACAGUUAGCUAGGUGGCUGAUAAGUAUAGAUUCUGUAAAUACAACACUCUGUGCAUGAGUGCUCUGCGCAAUUGCUGCCUGAGCGUGUAAAACCUCUACUGGAAUUGUUCCUCUCAAAGAGUGGAAAUGGAAAUGGAUGAUAAAAAUGGAUGCUUGGCGCCCUGAAGAAAAUGUUGGUGGCAAAUGGAAUCAAACUUUCAUGGAAAAUAGUGAUGGGUUAUCUCAGCAAGGCUGCUCACUAAAGGAAGUUUCUCAGAUGUUUCAGCAUUAAAAAACUUCUAUAGAGAAACAUCUUUCUUUCCCUAAUCAUGCUUCCUAAUGCAGAUAACACCAAACCUUUGUGCAGAAAGGAAGUCAGAGAAAUGAUGCUAUGACGCAGGAAGCAGCAGGUUGUGUGGGUGGAACUGAAAUCAGAAAUUACACUAAGAAUAAUGUCUCUCAUCCAACAAAGCCAAAGUGUUCUGCAAAGUGACUUCAGCUGAGCAGCAGAGAUGGAUGAAUACUUAAAAUGUUAGUGCUGAUGGUGCAGAGGUCUUAUCUGAGGUCAGAGAGGAGGCUAACAAAGGGCAGGCACGGGACCACUGUGUUGGGACUUGUAGAGCUGUGGUUUAACCACCAGGCAAGAAAGACCUCAUUGAAAUUUAGCACUUAGUGUUCAGAAGAGGCUGUGCUCCCCAGCAAAAUGCCAGCUUCUUGUGAAAACCUUUGAAUAGGUUGCGUGGCUGCUGCAAAAGGUUAUUUAAGAGGCACCGUCUGUGUGCACCAUAGAACUUUUGAAGAGUUACUCAGAAGUCAGACUGUUUCUUUUUACUUUGUCUGCAAAACUCAGAUUUCAGGUACAGAUUACGCACUGUCUGCCUUGUGGCAGGAAAGCAAAGGGCUCAGGCUUACCUCUCCGUCAUUGGAAAAGUUCAAAGAAAUGAGAUUGCAGCUGUUCUGCUCACCCAAGUCCUUAGCCAGAAGACCCAUUAGAAUUUUAAAUUAGUAAUAAAUUAAAACAAUUCCUGCAAUAUGGAUUCUCAUUUGGUUCGGGGUGCAGGAGCUGAAGCAUGGACACCAUCCCUCCCAGUCUAUGUGACACAUGCUCAUCCUCUACCACCUUCUUGAGUAAAUAAGGACUGGUGUUUCCUCACUUGAGAAGUGAUUUUAGCAUCUGAUAGGACUGGCAAAGCCCCAUAAUCAUUUCGCCACAGCGAAAACAAACAACUGCAGCCUCUCCUCGUGUCAUGCUCAUUUGAAGGUUAAAUUUGACCAGCAGCCUGUUUCCAUUACCCACAGGUUCUUGCUGAAAAUUGGCGGUUUCUUCUGUGUUAGGCAUAGGCUUGGAUGGCAAAACCUGGCUCUAGGUUAUGGGAAGAGAAAGUCUGCAGGUGUUCACAUUACAGCUUUCCCACAGUGCUACACAUAUUAUCUAAUUUCUUUUUAAUUGAAUGAUAUUUUCCAGGCGAGAUGGCUUUGUAAAAGCCAUGAAUGAGCCUCAUCUAGAUAACUUGUGGAACUGGUUCUGCAAAUUGCUGCAGGUUUACAUGCUGCUCGGUGCCCUUGCUGACCUCCAUCCCACGUCCCCCCCCUCCUCCCAUGCUUCUGCACUUUGAAUUUUGGUCCACAGCUUUUGGCCACCCCUGUCACCGCAGUAUGAGCUCUUCAUACCAUUGGAUCCACGCUCUGGGCCUACACUGGUCAACCAUGGCCAUCAGUCGCCUCCUCUUCCUCUUCAGCAAUCUACUUUUAUACAGCAGAGAUGUGAUUCGGGACAUUUUAUGCUGCCAUAAAGGUGCAGAUUAUUUAUUUCACCAGACGUCAUUUCUAGAAGGGCAAAUCCUCUGAGCAAGCAUGUCCCAGCAUACAGGAUGCACGUAUGGAUGUGUCAGAGCUACGCUGGACCCUGCCUAGAACCAGAGUGGCUUUUGCUCUGGAUGGGGCAAAGCUUGUUUGAACGCGGCUCAGAUGUACUAAGAAGAGGAUUUAGACCCAGCUGCAGCUUCCCAUGUCCCUCCAUGCUCUCACUGUGCUCCCCAGCCCUCUCUCACCCAAAGGGAGUAGGGCAGUGGUAACAGAUGGAAAAGAGCUUGUCUCCAGGCCACCUGGGAAUAGGGUCACAUAGCUUUGGGAAAAACAUGUGUCCAAGAGGGCUUGCCUUGACAUUAGCACACACAUUCUGCUCGUUAUAAACCAUCUUUUUAUAUAACUUGACAUAGUGACCUCUGCAAAAUUAUUGCUGCUUUGAAGCUAAGAAUAGGACACUGCUUAUUUCUGAUUAAACCCAAUUCACCUAUCAUUGCGGUUAGACUUUUAUUCCUGUAAAUACAUUUACUGUCAACAUUAAAAUACACAUUUCAUGGUAAUUCUGGGGUCAAGAAAACACUGUGCCAAAUACCACAUGCUCAUUUCAGUGUAAGAUUUAUUUUUUGCUUAUGAACAGCGUGCUUGCACUAAAUCACUAUUCUGAGAGGGAAUUAAAGCAAUCAUUUCUGCCAACAUUUUAGCAGAUAACAGGUGGCUGAGUACAUAAGACUAAACUGUUCCUAAUAAAACCUCUGUUUGGUUAUUUGUGUAAUUAUAACACUGGCGUAGUUUAGGAAAUGUAAAACGUUUGGGGAUGUCCUUUAGCAGAGAAGUCCUGUAGGCAGAAUGCUCCCGAGUUCACAUGCAGGACUGCCCAUAGAAGUGUGGAUGCCCCAUGUUUGGAGGUGCCCAAGGCCAUGGAUGGGCCCUGUGCAGCCUGCUGGGGGGCACCCAGCCCAGCACAGGGGUUGGAUGAUCUUUUAGGUCCUUUCCAACCUAAGCUGUUCUAUGAUUCUUCAUACUCAUGACCCAAGGUUAAGGAACUAAGGCUGCUUUGGGUGCUGUGAUGCUGAGCAGCUACAUUUCUUCCCCAGCCAGGCUGGGCUCAUUUUGUCCUGAGGACAGAGGUGAAAUAAAAGGCGCCUCUUCCCUAUACAGCUGCACAGUAACACAGCUCUGGUUAUGAUUUCAUCUGUAUUUGUAGAAAUCUAGACAUUUCCAGAAAUAUCCUACUGUGUCAUCUCUUCGUUGCUCUUCAACCUUCUCAACUUGUCUGUUCAAACUAGAAAAACAUUAUGUCACAGCUAAGACAGCUUUCAUCAGGUGCAAGUUUGCCCUUCUGUUUUGUUAGGUGAGCUAAGCUGGAGGGUGUUUGAUGAGCACCAGCUCAGUAACCGUCCUGUAAAGGGCAGCGCGCAGUGUGGGAACUUGCAGAGAACAUGAUGUAGCUGUGAGGGGAAUGCAGACAGAUGUGGGAGACACUGCUCUGUUUGUAAACAAACAGCUGAGCGCCCAAACUGGGCCAGUCUAGUGGAAAAUAGCAGUGUCACGGCCUCCAUCCAAGGAAGCAAAACAGCAGAGCAGCAGCACUCGGCUCUCUGCCUUUGGCUGUGCCAGGCUGGGUUUGCCAGGCUGUGAGCUUCACAAUCACUAUAAGUACCAAUAAUGGUUUUUAUUUCACCACUGCCAUCGGAAAGAGGUCAAUCCAGUCUGCUUUCUCUCUCUAAUCUCCCCCGAUGUUCUGUUCCAUAAUUCCCUUUCUUUUCAACUCCUCCCACAUUCAUUCCCAUUCUCUUCCUUUGCUCCUCUAUCCUUUUAUUCUCAUUUACUUUUCUCCUGCUGGCCAACCUCUUUGGUGCUCCACAUUUCUAUGCCUUAAAUGGAGUCUUUAACCCACUAUUGUCACUUGCACACACAUUUGUCCAACCAGUUGAGCUUUCUACACCACUCCUCACUCACUGAGCCAUGUUUCCUAGCUGCAAGCAGGCUACAGCCUACUGCAAACAUACACAUACAGAUAUAUCUGCACACACACGUGUAUACAUAUAUACGUGUAUAUAUAUCUACAUUAUAAAACUUGCCUUCCUUGGGGCUGAAUUAAUUUAUUAGCCACAAUAAAUCAAUUGCUUGCAUCUGUCUAGCCAUGACUUUUGGUCUGCUGAGGAACAGUCCCACCAUGCCACAGCUCCACUUUUGCAUGGGGCAAACUUUCAGUGCCACAUGGGUUUGCAUUCUUUCUUGCAGCGUUGCAAGAAAUGAACAUUUAUUACAUCAUGUGUAACAUUUUGAUUCUGGACACCUUGUUUUGUUCUAAGUGAUGGAGGUGAGCUUUAGGAGUGGACUAUUUUCUGACUCUGCAAGCAGAAAUCACUUUGGCACAUCUGACCUUCCGCCCACCUGGAUUUUUGGCACAGCUUUAACCAAGCUGGUGUGUUUGCCAACAUGUAUGCAGCCAGGGCAUCCCUGUGUACCUUCUCCAUGUACCUAAAGGUGACUGGGAAUGGUGCUGCAGCACCUCCAGGAGGUGUUCCCAUGGCCCCAGCACUCCCUGCCAACAACUCAUCCCCUCUUCCUUGUGGUGAUUCAUUGCCAUCCACAGGAAAAACCUCAGAGCAGCACUGAAUCACCAUUCAGCACCUCCUGCUGCCUCCUCUUCCAGCCUGCAACACAAACAUGGCCGCAUACCAAAGGGGAGGUGGGAAGGUGAAGUUUUCUGUAAGCAAGGAGCCUGGCAAGGAGGAUGUGCUUGAGCACUACUUGCCCUGGCGUGCCCGUGCGUGCUGCAGUACUGGGGCUGCAUGGGAAGCCACUGCCUUGAAACCUCCAAUGCUGAGGACGUGUAACCCCAAAUUACUCCUUUAGGGGGAAAAAUACCACCAUGUUGCUUCUUUGGGCUAGAAACCAGCCAUGGAAGGGAGAUUCUAAUGAGCGCCUACAGGGGUUGUAUGGGAGCCAUAGGCACCACGUGCUAUGCUCUUCUCUCAAGUUCAGCCCUUGCCGCUAAGACAAAGCCUUUGGGGAAUUUGGAGGGUAUUUCUGUGUUUACUGAGCUUGUGGGAGUUUAAUGUUUAAUCAUUGCGGGGGUGUUGGUUAGUCAUAUAAUCGUUAGCCAUCAUUUCUUUCUGCCUUUCUUUCCUUUUGUCCUUUGUUCUUCCUUAUCUCAGCUCUUUCAUUUUGUGGAAUACAUUGGCUUCCUAUCACAGCCUUGAUUUCUCAGUAAGUGGGCAGCUCUACAGCGCUGAGGCUCUCAAUUCCAGCAGCUCGGGGGCGGCCGGUGCCCAGUUUUCCCCUGGGCAGGAGCCAGCACUCUGGGGUUCCCCAGAAUCUACCAGCACCACACUUAGUUUCUUUAAACAAAACUGAGAGAUGCUUUUAACAAAACCUUAACUAACCUCUAUUAACAUGAGAGACGUGCAUCUUCAUUGCCAUCAAAUAUUUAUUUUUUUUUCCCAGCAUCAUCCUAUCUUGCUCUCUUCCAACCUUAAUUCAUCCCAGCGUGUAGUUGUUCCUCACACAUUAUUUAACAUCUGAGGAUGUAUUUUCAUUGUAAUGAGGUCAUGCACAUGGCCAUUACAGUUGCUUUUAGAUGUUUCCAAGAGUGCGAUGAGCCUACCAAAUAAUUCAAAGAAUAAAUCACUCCUGUUAUCUUUUCCCCAGGACAGAGCAAGACUGACAGAACCAGCCACAUUUUCAUUAUUAAUAUCAGAACUGCACGCAGUCGGAAAGCAGAAAGGACUGAAGAAUUUCAUAGCCCAAAUACCUACAGAAUAAUAAUAAUAAAAUCCCAGAGUGUCACAGUACAGCCCAAUGUGCCUUUUGGAAAUGCUGCCAUUCCAGAUAGCAGGGGAAACACAAAUCCAGCCCAGUUACCAUGGAAAUGUACAGUAUACCUCCAAAAUGCAAAGCCACCUGGCUGACCCAGAGAACUUCUUUGAGAUGAGCAUGGUAGCCCAAUAGCAAACAGCUGUCAAACAUCUCUGUGAUGACAGACUGCAUGGAAAGCAGAAGCCAGCACCACCAUCAGCUUAGUGAGCUGGAGAUGACCCAGCAAUCCUUUUCUUACACAACCCACCAAAGCUACUGCUACAACCAGUGGAGCUGGUUUUAGCAAGAGUGGAAGAUCUGUGGAGGGAAAGGAAAUGCUCAGAAGCCAAACAAUCUAAUGCAGCAUCUGAAAUGGUGCUGCAUGUCUUUUCAGUUAAAUGACUCUCAAUGCAAUGUUCACCCAGGGGUGUAUUUGUUGAUGGGACAGAGACUUAGGAAAAUGGCACUGGAAAGAAAUCAUCUCCUUGAGCAUCCUGCGGUGCCCAGCAGGAGAGGCCCCAACUGCCUCGUGCCUCGAAGUGGGCGCUGCUGUGCCCACCAGGAACAGGGCAGCCAUCUCAGCGCCAAAGCCAUCCCCACCUCCCACCGGCUGGAUCCAAGCCUGAUCCUGGGCAGCAGUUACACGGUCAGGGCUGCUCUGCUCAGAAACCAACACGAGACAUUACAAAAGGAUUUUUCUGAAGAUGUAAAACAGCACCCAGGGAACAACUCAGGAAGGAGGCAUCGAGAACUAAAAUGCUGGAAUUUGGGAAAGUCUCCAAAACCUCAGAAUUUCAUAUAUAUUUGGUAUAGUAAGUGUAGCAGUGAAUUUAAAUCUCAUUAUCCGUUGCUGCUAAAAACAGGAAUGUAACUGAAAGUUUUGGGCAAUUCCAGCAUCCAUCAUCAGUACUCAGGCAUAGGCCUGAUUUCUCUGAGACUCUGAAGUAAUUUAAUACUGUGGAUUUUAUAAAGUAUACUUAUCCUUCAAUAAAUCCGUAAUAACUGCUUCUUUCAUUGCAUAUUAUGAACUUCCAAGUUACACUGUCAGCUGUUAAGCAGAGUCUCCCACACUUUAGUGAAAGCAAGAAAGCUUCCAGCAAGGAAGUGUCAUGGAGAUGAGGCACUAAUGGACUCCACAGAACCACAGACUGGUUGAGGUGGGCAGGGACCAGAGGGAUUCCUCCACUCCAGCUCCACUCAGAGCAAGGUGCCCAGGGCCGUCUCCAGGUGGGUUUGGAGAUUUCCAUGGAGAAGAACCCACAGCCUCUCUGGGUACUUGUGCCAGGAGCCCUUACAUUAUAGGAUCUGCAGAGAAACCAUGCUAAGGUAUUGGGUACCAGCAAUGGGACUGCAGCUGCCUUGCUCUGCUGCCUACCACAGACAGAUGGAAACACCCAGAGUGCCAUCAUCGAGGGAUUCCCCAGCAUGGGAAAUAGCAGCCACAGCUGAGCAAGAGGGGUGUGCUAAGGGCAGGGCAUUGCAAAUGCCUUCAGGGUCUUGCUGUAACAAACUGAAAGCUUUCAUACUUCCACCCAGCAGGCUGUGACUGUCACUAUCUCUGGGCACAGGAACAAAGGGAGGCACUGCACAGUUCUGAGCUGAGUAAGAGAUGGCAACAGCAAUGCAAGCUGAGAGCCCUCCUGGCGGUUUGCAUAGAUUUCAGUGCGGAAUACGCCCUUUUCUGAAGAUUAAGCUUUCAUCUUUUAAUCUUUGGGAAAAAAGGGAUAGUCUGCAACCGAAUAAAAGACUUCCAACAUUUUACUGUAGACACUUACUUUAAAGAAAAUUCACUUUUUUAGCAAAAUGACUCUGAACUACAGUAGAAUAAGGGCUUUUUGGUUUCCAAUAAGAAUUAAAAAAAAAGAAAAGAACAGAAAAGAAAAUUAGGAAAGCAUAGUCUCAUAGAAAAUGAAGGAUCAUCACAGAAAUUUUAGUACAAUGCUAUGGACAUACAAAGGAGUGAGAUUAUUGUAAAUUAAGCAUAUGAAGCUUCCAGUGCUAAUGAACCCAAAUACCUUUGAAUGCAACUUUUGGGAAUGGAGCUCUCCACUCAGAAGGCUGAGAACUCACUUCAUCGCUGUGUGCCAGCUCUCAUACAGUGGCUACAGCAGCACCACGUUCCAGCAACAUCCAGUGACUGGCAGCUGAAGCUGAAUGAAUCCAAACUCUACGUGAGAUUUAAUUUCCAAGCUCUGUCUAUGUAAUUUUAUCAGAAGAGGUGAAAUUUUAGUCACAUAGAGGCUUUAAAUUGCAUGUUGUCUAUGCUUUGAAGGAGCUUCCGAAUUAAAGCCUGUACUUAUAUGUGCAGGGAUUUGAAUGCUUUCUGCUCCUUCUCUGGCUUCAGGAGGGAAGAGCUUUGUCUGCACUCCCCUCAAGGCGCUAAUCACACACAGUCUUGCUGCAAGACAAGGAUUAUGGCAAAUCCCUGCUUCACAGCUUUAGCUAAUUGCCGGCAGCAAUCAAGAGGGCAUUUUCCUUUCACCAUCUGUUAGCUAGCAAGAGAGGUUGGGGAUCUUGGUUGUUAUGUUCUCCAGCUUCAGAAACUGCCAUGACUGGAGAUGAGCAGCAGUGUGCUCCGAGGUGGAGCAGCACCUUGCUUGUUGGAUGGCCUUGCUCUCAUGUUUGUAGUCACAGCUGUGAGUAAACCCCAAAUCCAAAGGGUGGAUUUUGCCCAGGUCAUACUGAUGAGAACCUCAGAACUCUACACGUCUCCACAUUAUGGCAAAUAAUGUAAUUACCAGAUCAGUCCCAUGCUAUUGCAGAAAACUCAAAAUUCCUCCUUCGUAGUAACAUUUAACAACUGGAAAGCUUCCCUCGAUUGCCAAUAUGCAGGCAGUUGGGUGGAAGGUGAAGGUGUCAGCGGCGUACCAGCUUCCUGGUCAUAACCUCUAAGAAGAGGAGUCCCAUUGAUUCCAGUAACACCCCUCUUAAAAUAGUGCACAGGAGACCCACUGCAAGACUUUGCAGUAUUGAACCCACAGGAAAGGAAUAUAGUGAGAGCAUUUUGCUGGACACUUAGCAAUUCGCUGGCCAGGCUUUUUCCUGUUUUCCACUGUAACAUAACUGUUAGUUUUAACAAAACCGUUUUGUCUAAGGCAGAAUAAUUUCUUCGUAGCAAUGAAGUGAGGUUCUGUUCACAGCUCUUUAUUUCUGUGUGUAUAUAAAGUUGCUGAACUUCCUCUGCUGGAUAAAAUUAUCCAUCAUGAAAAUACAAUUAGAAAAGUUAGGAACUGUGAUAUUUUGGAAUCAGAGGAUAUUUCUGCUUCUUCAGUGGAACACAAUGUCCACUUCUACAUAGAGGAUAUACAUGUGAUAUGUUAUUUAUACUUGUAUAUAUGCAUCUACGUACAAGUAUAUGCCUAUUAUUCCUUCUGUUUUUACUGUUAUAGAUCCAUUUUCUACUGGGAGUUUCCUGCCUUAUGAAAUAAACACUUCAAAGAAUAGCACCCUGCAUUAUAAUUGAAUUUAUGAAUGACAAUAUAAUAAAAUCAUUAGAUGGGGAACUUGCGUAAAUUAAAUUUAAAAAUAUAGAAAAAUAAUUAAAUAAAAGAGUUCCUUAAGUUUUUUAAACACAAGUACUAUAAGGAACAGUGGGCCCACUAGACGUUAUUUUACUGAUCUGAGGGCAGGCUGGUUUUUAUUUAAGAAUUUAUAGAGCUCUUCAAUGGCAAUGACAUGGGUCGGGGCUUACUCGGGUGAAUACGGGGUUUUAAUGGCUCUCCUUGAUACCAGCAGGAAGGAACAUGCAUGAGGAUUCUCUCAUACUCUCUGCCUCUGAGCUCAUUUAUAAGUUACGAUGCACCUGACUUGAACUGAAUGGCACAGCGCUGCAGGAUCAGAAUGAGAUGUUCCAGCAAACCUUCAGUGGAAGCUGUAAUUCCUUUUGUCUUGUAAAAACUGCCCUGAAGUAAAAGUGGAAAGGAGUAUUUAGCUCAGCCUUACUAUUUUGAUGACUAUGAGAACACACAUGCCUGAAUUGAAUGAGAUUUCUUCAUCCAAGUGCAGGGUUUGAAUCUAUUUGCUAUGCACUAGAGAGCAGCUCUUGGUUUAAGGCUCUUCAAAGCAAGCCUUUGCCAAAGAGCAGAGGUGACAGAGAUAACAUGCCUUCUGAAUCAAGACUAAAAGCCCACAAGUCAGGUGUAGUCACAUAAUAAUGGUGGGCUGCCAUAAGGAAAUGUAAUUAUUUAAAAGAAAAAAAAACCCAACAGGCAGAAGCCCUUUACCUGCUGUUUCCUGGUAACUCUCCUUCCAAGAGAAAGGAUGAAGAUGACGUUGAAGAAAAUAAUACUCCACUCAGAAAGACAGGAACAGAGCAUGGCAAAGCUACAUUUGGAAUAAAGGAACUUCAAACAAGUGAAAACAGUGAGGGUAGGAAACAACAGGACAUUUAGUUCUUUUUCUAUCACUCCCUGUUCUUACUCUUAGAGAUGCAUAAUUCCAUAUG